GGAACAUAAGAAUUGUUUGGCUGACAGUUCAUCAAUUUAAUUAAAAAAAGAAUAUCAAAUAUUUUAAUAGGAUUGAGUUAGAAUAGAGAGUUUGAUGCAGUGAGUACUAAAAAAAUGACUAGCUAAAAUAGCAAAAGUGGAUUUUUGGUUAUAAUUUGACUCAAAAUUUGUUGAGAUUGAUGCGGAUGCUCUAAUAUACAUACUUUUGCAGGGUUUAUCAAGUUGCAAAUGUCAAGUCUGAGUGGAAUUGUGUCAAAACCUUCCCUGAUUUGUCUGGCACAGGUAAAGCAACUUGUGCUAAAUUUGGUCCAGAUGCUAAAUACCUAGCAGUCGGAUCAAUGGACCGCAACCUCCGCAUAUUUGGCUUGCCAGGGGAUGAUGGUCCCUCAGAAUCUUAAAAAGCCUUACAUUCGCCUUUUUGAGAGCAAGCUAUUUUGUAUCCACAUGUCGUUGAAAGAGGAGUUUCAAUUUACUAUUUUGCCCCCCAAUUUUCCCUUCAAAAUUUGCAAUUUGAUUUUGUUGUAGAGGAAGAAUGCCAAUCCUGAUACCUGUAGUAUUUUUUUAAUGUACUAUUUAAACUGCGGUAUAUUGAAUAGGUACAAUGAAUGUUUAAUAUGAAGUUCCGUUUUUACCAAGAGACUUCUACGCUAAUGUACUUUGACAUUGUCGUAGAAGUAUUUGCCUACUUGCC